rnacentral:rRNA from 1 species
UGGGGAAUUUUGGACAAUGGGCGAAAGCCUGAUCCAGCCAUGCCGCGUGAGUGAAGAAGGCCUUCGGGUUGUAAAGCUCUUUUAGUCGGAAAGAAAGAGUUGCAAUGAAUAAUUGUGAUUUAUGACGGUACCGACAGAAAAAGCACCGGCUGACUACGUGCCAGCAGCCGCGGUAAUACGUAGGGUGCGAGCGUUAAUCGGAAUUACGGGGCGUAAAGGGUGCGCAGGCGGUCUUGCAAGUCAGAUGUGAAAGCCCCGGGCUUAACCUGGGAAUUGCGUUUGAAACUACAAGGCUAGAGUGCAGCAGAGGGGAGUGGAAUUCCAUGUGUAGCAGUGAAAUGCGUAGAGAUGUGGAAGAACACCGAUGGCGAAGGCAGCUCCCUGGGUUGACACUGACGCUCAUGCACGAAAGCGUGGGGAGCAAACA